rnacentral:rRNA from 1 species
CGCUGGCGGCGUGCCUAAUACAUGCAAGUCGAACGGCUUUUCUAUGGAAGCUUGCUUCCACUGAGAAGAUAGUGGCGAACGGGUGAGUAACACGUGGGUAACCUGCCCAUAAGAGGGGGGAUAACAUCCGGAAACGGGUGCUAAUACCGCAUAGUUUUCUUGGUCGCAUGAUCGGGAAAGGAAAGACGGCCUUUGUGCUGUCGCUUAUGGAUGGACCCGCGGCGUAUUAGUUAGUUGGUGAGGUAACGGCUCACCAAGACGAUGAUACGUAGCCGACCUGAGAGGGUGAUCGGCCACAUUGGGACUGAGACACGGCCCAAACUCCUACGGGAGGCAGCAGUAGGGAAUCUUCCGCAAUGGACGAAAGUCUGACGGAGCAACGCCGCGUGAGUGAAGAAAAGGUUUUCGGAUCGUAAAACUCUGUUGUCAGAGAAGAACAAGUUGGAGAGUAACUGCUCCAGCCUUGACGGUAUCUGACCAGAAAGCCACGGCUAACUACGUGCCAGCCGCAGC